rnacentral:rRNA from 1 species
CCUACGGGUGGCAGCAGUGAGGAAUAUUGGUCAAUGGGAGAGAUCCUGAACCAGCCAAGCCGCGUGAGGGAAGACGGCCCUAUGGGUUGUAAACCUCUUUUGUCGGAGAGCAAAACCCGGGACGAGUCCCGGACUGCGUGUAUCCGAAGAAAAAGCAUCGGCUAACUCCGUGCCAGCAGCCGCGGUAAUACGGAGGAUGCGAGCGUUAUCCGGAUUUAUGGGGGGAAAGGGGUGCGUAGGCGGUCUGUUACGGCAGCGGUAAAAUUGCGGGGCUAAACCCCGUCGAGCCGUUGAAACUGGAAGACUUGAGUUGGCGAGAGGUACGCGGAAUGCGCGGUGUAGCGGUGAAAUGCAUAGAUAUCGCGCAGAACUCCGAUGGCGAAGGCAGCGUACCGGCGCCAGACUGACGCUGAGGCACGAAAGCGUGGGGAUCGAACAGGAUUAGAUACCCGAGUAGUC